UGAGUGGGGAGGCUGAGGGUCCAUCAUGCCUGCUGGAAAUGUGGACACAGAUCUGGGAUUUGUGCAUGGUGACCAGUGAAGCCCUCUGGCUCAACAGAGAAAACAUGGAGGCUUUGGUCCCCCGCCGUUCCCCAAAGAACCACAGAUCACUGCAGCCUCUGUACCGCUGUCACAGCCUGUGACUCUGAGGUGUAGGUUUGGCCAUGCUGGAGAGGUAAUUUUCGGGAGCAGAAUCGAGCAGUUGCUUCUCCUUUAAUUUCUGAUGCUUUACAAAGCCUGAGCUGAAGGCUGCACCACCAGAAGCUUGGCUGAGGAUCCACAGAGGCUGGCCAGAGAUAACAUUGAAGAGAAGCCAGGAGUCUCUCCAGUUGUGGUGUGGGAUCUGCACCAGUAGCCUGGGCCAGGGCCCACAGCAUUGCAUGCGUGCUCCACUGGGUCACUUCACCACACCACAUUGCCUAGCUCUUCGUGAACCCAGACAAGAAGAAGACACCAUUAGCAACUCGAUUGCCAAGUUGGUCCUUCCUCUCAACCCCCAGAUCGGGAAUUAUCCUGUCAGGGGCCAGCAGCCAGCCAGCUAUGCAGGGGAAAAAAGAAGAAGGGAGCAGGGAAUUGAGUUGGAUGUCAGAGAUCCCAGAAGUUCUGCACUGGGGUUGGCAGGUUCUCUUCAGCCCACAGUGGCGGAGGUCCUGCGGUCCCGCGGUCCAGCCUUUCACGAAGAGCCUGCUUUUCAGCCUCUGCGGUGCCUGCGGGGCCGACGAGGAGGUGUUGCGAGCUCCCCCUAGUGGGCAGACAAACGCACUGCCGACAGCCGGAGGUCUGCGAGCGCGAACUUCCUGGGGCCAAGUCAAGUGGCGAAGCUGGAAAAUUGGAAAAUGACCCAGGUGGUGGCGGGGGGCGGAGCAGGAAGGCAGCCGGCUCCCUGCAAUUCCAGAACUACUCUAAAUGUUAACAAUAUCAGUAAUAAUACUAUAAUAAGCAUAGUGACCAUAUUAAAAAUAAAUAGAAUGACAUAAUAGUGGAUAUUUACCAGCUGAAGAUUUACAGUUCAGAAGAGGUUUUUCUUACUGUGUCUAUUUAAUCGUUAAAAACACAACACUGUAGUAGCACAUAAAUGUAUUCUCAUUGAACAAGAUUCAAGUGGUAUGGAAGAACAUACUACACAUAUUUUUAAGGUCUUUAGAAAAUUUUCUUUUAUUCUUUUUAGGGAGGGAGAGAGAGGUGGGGGUGGGGGUGCAGACGCAGAGGGAGAGAAUCUUUUUUUUUUUAAUCAUCAAAACUUAUUUAAUCAUUUUAUAUAACUGGAUCACAAUUUAUAGAUAAUUUGAAUUAUACCUUACAUGAUAUGAAAAAAAUAAACACCAAGUAUAUAAAAAAGCAAAUUAUUAAAAUGAGCCAUAGAAAUAACAGAAGGAAAACAGAUUAUUUAACCACAAUUUUGGAAGAAUGCUUCUUUGAUAAAUAGCUGAUAAUAGUAUAACUUCCCAAGAAAAGAAAAAAUUCAACUCUACAACAACUUCUCAUCAAUGAAAUGUAACUCUCUGCAAUAAAAAC